GACAGAGGUGCCGAGCGUUAGGCGGAAUCACUGGGCUUAAAGCGUGUGUAGGCGGAUCGUUAAGUGCCUUGUGAAAUCCCACGGCUCAACCGUGGAACUGCUUGGCAUACUGGCGAUCUUGAGCCACUUAGGGGCUACCGGAAAAAAUGGUGGAGCGGUGAAGUGCGUAGAUAUCAUUUGGAACGCCAAUGGUGAAAACAGCUCGCUGGGAGUGUGCUGACGCUGAGACACGAAAGCCAGGGUAGCGAACGGG
rnacentral:rRNA from 1 species